rnacentral:rRNA from 1 species
UGAGCAACCUGCCCUUGGCUUUGGAAUAACCCUCGGAAACGGGGGCUAAUACCGAAUGUUCACUGCUGGACGCAUGUUUGGUGGUGGAAAGUUUUUCGGCUGGGGAUGGGCUCGCGGCCUAUCAGCUUGUUGGUGGGGUGAUGGCCUACCAAGGCGACGACGGGUAGCCGGCCUGAGAGGGCGACCGGCCACACUGGGACUGAGACACGGCCCAGACUCCUACGGGAGGCA